rnacentral:misc_RNA from 1 species
GCAAACUUGGUCAUUUAGAGGAAGUAAAAGUCGUAACAAGGUUUCCGUAGGUGAACCUGCGGAAGGAUCAUUACUGAAUAAAGUGUGGCUGGGGGUUGUUGCUGGCAUCCUUGUGAUGUAGGUGCACACCUCUGCCACUCUGUCAUUCACCCUCUCCACCUGUGCAUUCUCUUGUAGGCCAGAUUGCCAUUUAUUUUUUUUGGCUCGUGUUCUCUUCUGAGCACUUUGUUUUUUGGGAGUUGCUGUUGCAGCUCUACAUUGUGAGAGCUCCUCCUGUAUUUUGGCCCAUCUGGUCUAUGCGCCUUUACCCAAACCCUCUCAUGUUUUGUAUGUAUGGUGUUUCAUAGCUUUGCUAAAAGCAUGUGUAUGCACAACUUUCAACAACGGAUCUCUUGGCUCUCGCAUCGAUGAAGAACGCAGC